rnacentral:rRNA from 1 species
UACAGAGGUGCCAAGCGUUAGGCGGAAUCACUGGGCUUAAAGCGCGCGUAGGCGGAUGUUUAAGUGUCUUGUGAAAUCCCACGGCUCAACCGUGGAACUGCUGGGCAUACUGGACGUCUCGAGGCACUCAGGGGCGAGCGGAACAAGUGGUGGAGCGGUGAAAUGCGUAGAUAUCACUUGGAACGCCAAUGGUGAAGACAGCUCGCUGGGGGUGUCCUGACGCUGAGGCGCGAAAGCCAGGGGAGCGAACGGG